rnacentral:rRNA from 1 species
AAUUGUAUGGUACUUCACUCGAACCAACCGCCCGGGGACUACGAGCCCCAGCUUAAAACCCAAAGGACCUGGCGGUGCUUUAGAUCCCCCUAGAGGAGCCUGUCCUAUAACUGACAACCCCCGUUAAACCUCACCGCCCUUUGUCAAUCCCGCCUAUAUACCACCGUCGUAAGCUUACCCUAUUGAAGGCUAAAAAGUAGGCACUAAUAGUAAUACUAGAGACGUCAGGUCGAGGUGUAGCGUAUAGGGCGGGAGGGRAUGGGCUACAUUCUCUAAUGAAGAGAAUACGAAUGGUAAUUUGAAAAAAUAACACUGAAGGAGGAUUUAGUAGUAAGAAAGGAGCAGAGUGCCCUACUGAAAAUGGCCCUAAA